rnacentral:rRNA from 1 species
GAUGAACGCUGGCGGCGUGCCUAAUACAUGCAAGUCGAGCGAAUGGAUUAAGAGCUUGCUCUUAUGAAGUUAGCGGCGGACGGGUGAGUAACACGUGGGUAACCUGCCCAUAAGACUAGGAUAACUCCGGGAAACCGGGGCUAAUACCGGAUAACAUUUUGAACCGCAUGGUUCGAAAUUGAAAGGCGGCUUCGGCUGUCACUUAUGGAUGGACCCGCGUCGCAUUAGCUAGUUGGUGAGGUAACGGCUCACCAAGGCAACGAUGCGUAGCCGACCUGAGAGGGUGAUCGGCCACACUGGGACUGAGACACGGCCCAGACUCCUACGGGAGGCAGCAGUAGAGAAUCUUCCGCAAUGGACGAAAGUCUGACGGAGCAACGCCGCGUGAGUGAUGAAGGCUUUCGGGUCGUAAAACUCUGUUGUUAGGGAAGAACAAGUGCUAGUUGAAUAAGCUGGCACCUUGACGGUACCUAACCAGAAAGCCACGGCUAACUACGUGCCAGCCGCCGCCGUAA